CUAGUGUCGGUGCUUGCGCCUGCCACACUAUUCUUUUGUUUUGUGUUGUUUUAAAUAAAUUUAUGUUAAUCUUUGUAAACCUGAGUUGCAUCCUCCUUCUUUGUUGCGGCCUGAGAGCCGGGGUCGUAACAAAUUGGGGGCUCGUCUGUUUUUGAAUUCUGUGGCAUUGAUGGCCAAACUGUGGGAUGGGUCGAGGAGCUGGUGCUGGCAGCUGUAGAGCUGCCAGCUAUUCCGAAAGCUCUGCGGGACCUGGGGCAAUACGCUCGGGCAAACAGGGUCAGCACGGUGGCUCUGACUGGUGACCAGGUGGCCACAGUGAGGUCAACUUUUCAGUGCCUUAUAUGCAGAGAUGUGAUGGAAAACCCAGUGGUGGCACCAUGCUGCCGCAGCCUCGUUGGGUGCCGGGUCUGCGUGGAGCAGUGGACAACCAACUCGCUGCACUGCCCAAAAUGCAGGGAUGACAGUUUUCAAGAAAAGAAAUUUUAGCUUACAGGGAUGGGGGAGGUUGUUACUGUUUUUGAAGGACAUCAUAAGAAGUUAGGGGAUUGUUGGUGUAGUUCGUUUUUAUUUUAGGAGGGUGGUUGUUGGGGGGCCUGUUAAGUUGAGUUAUGUUCAUCUGUUAUGUUAUUUUAUGUAAAUAAUAAAUUGUAAAAAAAAAUUCUGU